rnacentral:rRNA from 1 species
UUGGAGGGCAAGUCUGGUGCCAGCAGCCGCGGUAAUUCCAGCUCCAAUAGCGUAUAUUAAAGUUGUUGCAGUUAAAAAGCUCGUAGUUGAAUUUCGGGGUCAGUAGGUUGGUCAUGCCACUGGUAUGUACUGAUCUUACUGAUUCCUCCUUCCUGAUGAACCGUAAUGCCAUUAAUUUGGUGUUGCGGGGAGACUGGACCGUUACUUUGAAAAAAUUAGAGUGUUUAAAGCAGGCUAACGCUUGAAUACAUUAGCAUGGAAUAAUGAAAUAGGACGUUCGAUCCUAUUUUGUUGGUUUCUAGGAUAGACGUAAUGAUUAAUAGGGAUAGUUGGGGGCAUUAGUAUUCAAUUGUCAGAGGUGAAAUUCUUGGAUUUAUUGAAGACUAACUACUGCGAAAGCAUUUGCCAAGGAUGUUUUCAUUAAUCAAGAACGAAAGUUAGGGGAUCGAAGACGAUCAGAUACCGUCGUAGUCUUAACCAUAAACUAUGCCGACUAGGGAUCGGAUGAUGUUAAUUUUUUAAUGACUCAUUCGGCGCCUUACGGGAAAC